GAGAGGGAAGGAAGGGGUGACUAGUGACAGAGUGAGGGAGGGUGUGACUAGUGACAGAGAGAGGGAGGGUGUGACUAGUGACAGUCACCCCCUCCCUCACUCUGUCACUAGUCACCCCCUCCCUCACUCUGU